AGGCGACGACGGGUAGCCGGCCUGAGAGGGUGACCGGCCACACUGGGACUGAGACACGGCCCAGACUCCUACGGGAGGCAGCAGUGGGGAAUAUUGCACAAUGGGCGCAAGCCUGAUGCAGCGACGCCGCGUGAGGGAUGAAGGCCUUCGGGUUGUAAACCUCUUUCAGUAGGGAAGAAGCCGAUCUUUUGGGUUGGUGACGGUACCUGCAGAAGAAGCGCCGGCUAACUACGUGCCAGCAGCCGCGGUAAUACGUAGGGCGCAAGCGUUAUCCGGAAUUAUUGGGCGUAAAGAGCUCGUAGGCGGUUUGUCGCGUCUGCCGUGAAAGUCCGGGGCUUAACCCCGGAUCUGCGGUGGGUACGGGCAGACUAGAGUGCAGUAGGGGAGACUGGAAUUCCUGGUGUAGCGGUGAAAUGCGCAGAUAUCAGGAGGAACACCGAUGGCGAAGGCAGGUCUCUGGGCUGUAACUGACGCUGAGGAGCGAAAGCAUGGGGAGCGAACAGGAUUAGAUACCCUGGUAGUCCAUGCCGUAAACGUUGGGCACUAGGUGUGGGGGACAUUCCACGUUUUCCGCGCCGUAGCUAACGCAUUAAGUGCCCCGCCUGGGGAGUACGGCCGCAAGGCUAAAACUCAAAGGAAUUGACGGGGGCCCGCACAAGCGGCGGAGCAUGCGGAUUAAUUCGAUGCAACGCGAAGAACCUUACCAAGGCUUGACAUGAACCGGAAUGAUGCAGAGAUGUGUCAGCCACUUGUGGCCGGUUUACAGGUGGUGCAUGGUUGUCGUCAGCUCGUGUCGUGAGAUGUGGGUUAAGUCCCGCACGAGCGCAACCCUCGUUCCAUGUUGCCAGCGGUUAUGCCGGGACUCAUGGGAGACUGCCGGGGUCAACUCGGAGGAAGGUGGGACGACGUCAAUCAUCAUGCCCUUAUGUCUUGGGCUU
rnacentral:rRNA from 1 species